rnacentral:rRNA from 1 species
AGAUUGAACGCUGGCGGCAGGCCUAACACAUGCAAGUCGAGCGGCAGCACGGGUACUUGUACCUGGUGGCGAGCGGCGGACGGGUGAGUAAUGCCUAGGAAUCUGCCUGGUAGUGGGGGAUAACGCUCGGAAACGGACGCUAAUACCGCAUACGUCCUACGGGAGAAAGCAGGGGACCUUCGGGCCUUGCGCUAUCAGAUGAGCCUAGGUCGGAUUAGCUAGUUGGUGAGGUAAUGGCUCACCAAGGUCGACGAUCCGUAACUGGUCUGAGAGGAUGAUCAGUCACACUGGAACUGAGACACGGUCCAGACUCCUACGGGAGCAGCAGUGGGGAAUAUUGGACAAUGGGCGAAAGCCUGAU